GACAAAAGCUUUGGAAUGGAGCAAUGUAACAUACAUCUGUGUUUUGUUGUUUCAUUUUUAUCUGCACAGAGAUCUCUGAUUUCAGAGCUCAUUUUCCUGCAUGACUCUGCUUUCGCAUUAAGAGGAUGGGAGGUUAGACAUGCUGAAUUGUUUUGCUAUUGUAGGCAUCUCAAUGAGUCUUGUCAUUUAUACACUGAGAAUCAUGUUAAAAGCUGAGAUGGAUCAGGAGUCUUUGGGGACCAAAGCAAGAUCCAAGGAGCGAGCGGCCAGAGACAGCAACAAUGAUUGAGAAGCAAGAGCGGGGCUGGUCGGCUUACACUGUGUGGAUGAACAGAAAAAGUCUCACUUUGCAAGAAGAAGCAAUCGGGAAAGUAGAAGUUUAACAUAUGCUGACAUUCAGCGCUUCAAGGACUACAAACUGCCACAAUUAGCGCACUGGAAAAGAUCUUUGGAAAUAUUAAGCAACAAAUAUGUGGAAAAUUGAAGAACGAAGUGACCAAUGUUUAUUACGGACAUUGAACUGAUAAAGGAAAAAGUAAAUCUAUAAAUAGAGAAGUAGAAUGUGCCCUUUAAAUAUAUCUGCAUUAGAGACUAUGGUAUGUACUGGAAAGAGCGGAGUGUGCCAAAAUCAAACAUGGCCACUCCGGAACCUUCAAUGCGGAAGGACAAGGUUUCCAUGGUGACCGAGUAUGCCUAUGCACGUUUUCAUCAGAAGGGGAAAUGACGGAAAAAAGACGCCGGCGAACGCCGAUCACGUGAUCCAUAACAGGAAGUAGUUACGAGGAGAGCAGCUCGAGAGUAGCGAUCACGUGACCGGAUGUGAUGUUGCCACAUGACCGGAUGUGCUAGAGUAAUAUAGCACAGAUCCGGAGAAGUGGAACCAAUAUACGGAGAUACCGGCACUUAUAAUACGAAACACCCGUCACUUCCGGUCCAGAAAAUUAUUUGUUUUUCAAAUAAUUCUACGUUUUUAUACAGUAUAUGAUGGCGCUUUUUUAUGAUAAAUGUGAGGACACAUAAGAUCUUAUAACACAAUGUUUAUAUAAUGAUAUAUUUGUGAAUAAUUGUGCAUAUAACUGAUUUAAUCUGUAAAUGGAAGUGGCUCCUCCCAGAAAUUAGGAGGGGUAAUUUGUAGGGGUAUAAAGAUCCCAGAAGGGAAUGAACAGGAUAUGCCUUGACAAAGAUCAGUAAACUGAUUGAAACGCGUUGGCUAAAAGAAGGAAACAACAACGGCAGACUGACCAGACGUGGACAAAGACGGGGUGCCCAUUAUAGGAGCUGAUUCUUCCCCUGGGAUUUGGAACAUCUAUACAGCUUUCUUUAAGAGCACUUCUAUUGUCUGAUUUCUGGUAGGAAGCCACCUUCAUAAAAUCCUGGAUUGUAACAUCAUUGAAUGUCGAUUAUCCAUUUGUGGAAAUAAUGGAACAUUCUUAUUUUAAAUUUUGUUAUUAAAUGCCAUUUAUUUUUAAUAUAUUCAUUGAAUUUCAUUUGGGUGAGAAACAGUUUUCAUGUAUAUGACGUACACUGUGACAAACAUAUUGCACUAGAUGGUUCUUUUUUCUCUCUCCCUUAUUUAUGUACUUUGGAUGUUCUGUACGUAUAACACAUGCAAGGUAUCCAGUUGUGGAGAUGUAUACACAGAAAUAGAGGACUCAUCCUUUUAAGUUAAGUUGACCUCUUUUUCUACUUUCCCUGAAAUUUUGAGCGCAAAAGGAAAGGUGCCCCAUACCAAAAAAUAGUUUUCCUGAGGUUAUGUUUAGGCACUAGGGGAGGGUUAGGGAUUAGGGUAAAGGAAAGGGUUAAAAUACUCACCAAAACCACCGCUCCCAUUGAGGUUUGGAUCAGUCGUCACUGCCACAUGACCACCUGUACCUGGAAGCCAUGUUGGAGCCAUCGGGACAAGGUAAGUGACUGCCGAGUCACAUGGGGCAUUAUGCCGACAUGUCAUCUGUGUAGACAUAAUGAAUGUUGACAUGGUCACUGUCGUCCUAACAUACCACACCCUCCCUGAAAACCCUAGGAGCAGUAAUAACCCUUUACCCUGCUAUAAAACCCAGGCUGACGGAUGUGCUACAUGCGCCUUUGUACUGAUUUUUUUCCUUCUCAAACCUGCCAGCCUACCUUUGAAAGAGUGAUAUAUACACCCCGGACCAUUCUGUCGCUGAAGCGCCAGCUUAGAAUCAAAGAAUUUAUGUGGUCACAGCAGUCAAGAUCUUGUUAUAUUUCACAGUAGUGUAUUAAUUGUA